rnacentral:rRNA from 1 species
AAGCUCGUAGUUGAAUUUCGGGAUCAAUUUAUUGGUCGUGCUAUUGUACGUACUGGUAUUAUUGAUUCCUACCUUCUGACGAACCAUGAUGUCAUUAAUUUGGUGUCAUGGGGAAUCAGGACUGUUACUUUGAAAAAAUUAGAGUGUUUAAAGCAGGCUCACGCUUGAAUACAUUAGCAUGGAAUAACGAAAUAGGACGUUUGAUUCUAUUUUGUUGGUUUCUAGGAUCGACGUAAUGAUUAAUAGGGAUAGUUGGGGGCAUUAGUAUUCAAUUGUCAGAGGUGAAAUUCUUGGAUUUAUUGAAGGCUAACUACUGCGAAAGCAUUUGCCAAGGAUGUUUUCAUUAAUCAAGAACGAAAGUUAGGGGAUCGAAGACGAUCAGAUACCGUCGUAGUCUUAACCAUAAACUAUGCCGACUAGGGAUCGGAUGAUGUUAAUUUUUUAAUGACUCAUUCGGCA